rnacentral:rRNA from 1 species
UAUGGCCAUAACACCCUGAAUGGGCCUGAUUUCAUCUGAUCGUGGAAGCUAAGCAGGGUAGGGCCUGGUUAGUACUUGGAUGGGAGAAAAUAAAUAUUCUACUGAAAGAUGUUUUAAAAUCUAAGUUGCAAUAA